UACGUAGGCAGCGAGCGUUGUUCGGAGUUACUGGGCGUAAAGCGUGCGUAGGCGGUCUGUUACGUCUGCUGUGAAAACCCGGGGCUUAACCCUGGGCUUGCAGUGGAUACGGGCAGACUAGAGGCAGGUAGGGGAGAAUGGAAUUCCCGGUGUAGCGGUGAAAUGCGCAGAUAUCGGGAGGAACACCGGUGGCGAAGGCGGUUCUCUGGGCCUGACCUGACGCUGAGGAGCGAAAGCGUGGGGAGCGAACAGG
rnacentral:rRNA from 1 species